UAAAUAAAUAAAAUCUUUAAAAAAAAAGAUAAAUCUAAAAUUUUACACAUUUGGAAAAUGUGAGACAGUCCUCAGAAGACAAUUGGUAACUUCAACAUAUAUAUCUCGAACUUGCUAAAUGGGUAAACGUGGGUAGCAUUAACUUAUUGUUUCUUAUUUUACCACAGAUGCAUGGGAACUCCUGAUGAUGUGAUACUAGUGCAUAGGUCAGUAUCUGGGAAUUUCCAGUGUAGUACUCUUUUGAGGACUUUGGCAAUGAAUGGAGGAGAAUGAGAUUAGCAACGGGAUUUAAGGGAGACUUUAUUCUUAACAUAGAGGAGAUCUGAGUACUUUUAAUGCUAAUGUCAAGAAGUCAAGAGAGAAGAAGAGGUUAGAAAUGCAAGAGAGAAGGCAUAAUUUAUAGGAUGGUAUCCUGAAAAGGAAGUAGAAGUGAGAACCUAUAAGAAAAGUGAGGAGAUUGGACUUAAGUAGGAGGGACAGACUCUCCAUUGUGGCAGAAGUAGAAAGGUUAGGGAUAGGUACGGAUCUGUACGUAGAUUUGGUGGCAGAGAAUUGAGGUCGUUCCUUUCUGAAAUUUCCUCCAUGAAGAAGAAGAAGGUAAUCUAAGAGUAAUGCAAGAAACAGUAGAUGAUCAAAGUUUUGGGAAGAGGGUUUUGAAAGAGUGUUAAGGGACAGAUAAAGUGCAUGAGAAUCAUAGAUUUGCUACAUAGUAUUAAGGACCAAGAUUUUUAUAAUGAUAAUUAAUCAGUUGAGCAGAACUCAGCAGCGUAGGUGUGUGUGUACAGAAGAUAGUUGUAUUCCUCCAGGGUUGGGGUUUUACAGGACAGGUAAUAAAAGAACAAAAAGCAAAAAUCAUCUCAUAUAUUGGCAAGUGAGUAGUUAAAUGAUGGAACAUGGAAUCAAAGCUGGGGAGGGGAGGAUGGCAAGAAAGCAGUGAGGCUGAUGGAUGGGAAGAAAGCAUAUAGGCUGAUGAAAGCAAAGACCAUCAAGGAAUAGGGGUAACUGAAUGAGCUAGGAGGUCAAUCCAGGCUCUAGAUACAGCUGUUUGUGUAUAAGAUAGGUGUCUUCCAUUAUAGUUCUUUUUUAUAGAAUAUAUCAAAAUGAUGGACUUAUAUAUGGUUUUGCAAUCUGGCCUGGGAAUUUAGUGUAGUGGUUAGGUGUACUGAAAUCAGAAAACCUAAGCAUAGUUACUUACCCUAAGUCUCAGAUUUCUCAACCAUAGAUGGGAAUAAUAACAGCACUUCCUUCAUAUUUGUAUGGAAAAUGCAUAUUGAUUUCCAAACACCCAACUUAAAAACUUCUGGAAAAAAUCCAUUUGUAAUUUGGUGAUUCCUUAUUUUAGACACCACUUGGCAUAUGAUGUUAAUGCAGUUCCUUUAGUUUAUUCAACAAAUAUUUGUUAUUGAGUGCUAUGAUGUGUUAGACACUGUUCUAGGUGCUGAGACUAAGCAGUUAAACAAAAGAAAAUCCCUGCCCUUAGGAGACAGAUGCUAAACAAAAAGAAAACAGGUAUAACAGCAGGUGGGGAUGAUGUUUGGAGGCAGGUUAAGUGGGGAAAAAGGAGGAUAAGGAAUACCUGUAGAGUCUUACAUAUGGUGCUGUAGGAAGGCUCCCUAAUAAAGGACUGUCUGAGCAUCUGCAUGAACCUCAUUUCUCUCUGUGAAAGAACAUUCUACACAGAGGGAGCAGUUAGUACUAAGUUUUUCAAGUGAAGCCUAAUUGACAUGUUUGAAGUCUGUAAAGAAGACGAAUGUGGCUAGAGCAUCAUGAAAAAAGGCAAAGCUGGAAGGGUAUGAGAUAAGAGAAGUGGCAAGUUAGCCAGAUCCUAAGUGGCCUUAUAAGCCAUGGUAAGAACACUGGCUUUCAUUCUGAGUGAGAUAGGAAGUCAUUGGAGGAUUUUGAGGAGAGGAGUGACAUGAUCUGAUUUAUGUGAAGAUUUGAUGAUGGGGAAAAGCAGGGAUACCAGUUACAAGACUAUUACAAUAAUCCAGAUGAGAGUAACCUGGACCAAGGCAGAAGUGGAACUGGUAAGAAAUGAUCAGAUUCUCCAUAUAUUUUGAAGGUAGAGCCAAAAGGAUUUGCUGGUGUACUGGGUAUAUGGUAAGAAAGAGAAAAGUCAAAGGUAAUUAACUAUAAGAUCUUUGGUCUAAGCAAACUAGAAAAUGAAAUUGCCAUUUAGUGAGAGAGGGACCAUGUGGAUUGGGAAAGAGAAAAUAGUUCAUUUUUAGGCAUGAUAAGCUUAAGAUGCCUAUUACAUAUCCCAAGUAGAUGAUGUUGAGAAGACAAAUAGAUAUGAGUCUGAGUUCAGGGGACAGGUCUGAGCUGGUGACAUGAAUUUGAGGGUCAUCAAACUAGAGAAGGCAUUAAUAUCAUGAUAUUGGAUGAGAGCACACAGGAGUGAGCAUAGGAAAAGAAGAAAAGACAUCUGAAGACUGGGCCUGAGCCACCCCACAUAUAGAAAUCAGUUGAUGAGAAGAAACCAACAGAGAAUCUUCAAGAUGUGCCAGUGAGGAAGAAUCAAAAGACAGUGGUAUUUAUAAGCAAAAUGAAGUAAAAUUUCCAAUGUCUAAGAUAGAAAUGUGGAAUUGGGUAUUUGAGGUAAAAUAGAGGCCAGGAACAUUGCAAGAGAAGAAGUCAAGAAACCAGAGUACGAAGAGGAUUGUUUUUUGUGGAUAUUGCAAUCACCAAGAAUAUUGAGAAUCACAUUAGAAAAAGUGACAGUGAGCCAGGUGUGAAAAAUCUCCAACGGGUGAGGAGAACCAGGAGCCAGAUAAUCUGCAGUGUGAUGGCACCAGCUUCCAAUUCAAGUCAGAUAAUUGUGAAUAUGCUGGAUGUUGGUAAUAAUAGGUUGGCCAUGUGAAAGUGUUGAUGUCUGAUUACUUUUUAACCUACAAAAUUGGCGAUUUCAUACGGUUCAAUCUAAUAACUGAACAUAUAUAAAAUAUGUCUGAAUUAUGAUUGGCUUCAUAAGUUGAUAGAUAUUUAUGUCAGUACUCUUUUCUUUUUCAGUUGGAGACUCCCUGAGAUCAGGAAUUUGUAUUUUACCACAUGUGUUUCUUUCAUAGCACUUAGGAUUUACUUGGUAGUUUCAGUUGGUCAUGUAGUACUUUUUAUACAUAGAUUAUUACUAGAAUUGCUACUGCUGACCUCUGUUGUCAUUUCGGGGUGAUAAGCAGUCUCCUCACCUUCCGAGGUGAAAACAAUUGAGAAACAUAAACAGGCAUUAGAUGGGGAUCAAUAUCAGCUUUACUGCUGAGUAAACUGGAAUAGAGAAAACACUUAGACCUGAGGCCCAUAUGGGAUCCCGAGUCUUUCUCCUCUGGAAUGUAUUCAUGCAGUCAGUCCCUUGACAGAUGCCAACUGCUUCCCAGGGGCACAGCCAGUUUCUAACAUGGGGGGAGUGAACAGGGGAGGGUGAGGCUGGGCUGGGAGUAGCAGGCGCAAGUACUUACAAAAGGCUCCAGUCCUUGACUGCCUUCUCUCCACAUCUCCCAGAGCCAGUCCUUCGUGAUGCUUUCUUCAGAGUCUUCAUAGCCAUCGUGAGAACACAGUGUUUUUAAACUUUGUUGGACAAGUGCCAGGUUUGGAAGAUGUGGUCAAAGGCAGCAACUACUUCCCCUGUCACUCUUGUCACCCAGGGCUUGCUGCAGUGAGCUUAUCACUGUGAGCAAGCAGAUCUCAAUGAGAGAGGCCAGGCCACAUGUGUGCAGUGACCCUUCCAGCUAUUUACCAAUUAGGUAAGGCACUCCUUUCCUAGGAACUUGUGGAUUGAAGGAAUUAAAGAGAAAGGUGGGUGUUCUCUCCCUAGAACAUCUGAUGGUAGACGCAGGUUUUGUGAAGCCUGAAGCUUCCAUAAUUUGGAAAGUCCUCUUUAAGGAAAAGAAUAUAAAAUUGCAAGUGUGAAAUUAGGUAGAAAGUUUGGAAGAGGCCUGAGCAAGUGAAGACCUUGAAACUUAAGCGUUAUAGCUUUACAGUAAAUCCUGUGCUCUUGAGAAGGUAGCGAUACCUGUUUUAAUAUGGUAUUAGACACAACUUGCAAGCAAACCAUCUUGAACUAGCUUAAAUAAUAAAGACGAGUAGUGGCUCACAUUAAUGAAGAGUCCAGCUGUUGGGCAGGCUCCACCAUUGAUCUAGCAGCUUAACAAUGUCAUAAUGACCCAGUUUCUUUCCAUCUCUCCUCUGUGCUGUCCACAGUAUCUAUUCCUCCUUAGGCAGGUCCCUUCAAGUUCACAGCAUGAAUGCCAGUAGCAAUGAGGACUACUUGCUAACAUUUUCCUGUUAGAAGAUAAGGACAACUGCUUCAAUCAUAGAGCAAAACCUUGAACUUCAAAAAAUGGCCUGUUGGAUUCAGGAGUCUAAAUGAUUAAGGUUGGAGCCAAGCACUGUGGCAAGAAGGAUAGGGCAACCUUAAGGUUAGGCCAACCAGGGCCCACGUCCAGAGGUAAGGAUACGGAUAUGGGUCAUCCAAAUCAUUUGGCUGCUGCAUACUGGAGGAGUGGAACUGAGGUUGGUGAAACAUCUACAAUAUUAAACCAGAGGUGAGAGUAUGGAAUAAUAAUCUAAAUGUACUGAAAGCUUUCAGGACACCCAUCUGAUUUACAUUUUCCCUUCCAUCAUCAUUUUUCUCCACCACGAUACUGAAAGCCCUGGGAAGGCAUGGCCAUUUGUUCACUAGUUACCCAGCACCUAGCAUAAGUGCUCAAAUGUAUUGUGAGAAUACAUGAAUUUAUCACAAACUUUUGAGAAACAACUGGCAGGAACAUUAAAUAGGUAUCUAUAAGGGCUUAGGUAAAAGGGAACUAUGUAAGAAUAUGAAAUAACAAAAAAAUUAGAGAUUAUUGGAUUUGAGCUCAAUUAAAUAAUUUUCAGGUCAGAAUCACGUCUUACCAAAGAAAGUGGAAGUAGGACAAAAGGAUUUUUUUAAAGUGGCUCUUCAAACUAACAUGCCUGAGGUGUCAGAGAUUCAGUAAGACAUCAAAAAUAUUUCACAAAGAAACAGAGAUAAGUGCAAAGUGAAGGAUAAUUAAGAUAAUUAUUUUAUUUUGACAUUAAGAAAGGACAAUUAUAUUCAAUGUGAGCACUAAGUCUGUAGUUGUGUAACAGAAUGCCUUGAGCUGAAUGUAAUGAUUUAACAUGUUUUUCUAUAUACGAGUAAAACAUAAAGUAAAAUCCUUUAUAGUGUGAUAAAGUUACUGGAGGAAAAGUAUUGUGUAACAAUUUUGCAUGACCUCUGAUUUCCCAUUUUUCAUAUCUUUUAUUCUCUAGAGUCCUACUUGAAAAGAUGGACAAUAGUCUAAGUUUGGAAUCUCAGAUUAUGUUUUAAAAAUGUAAGCCUCAUGAGAGAAGGACUUUCUUUUUUGUUGCCUGCUUAACCCCAGUCAGUGAAGAAAUGCAUGGUACAUUGUAGGCUGACAGUGCAAGCUAAACAACACUGAAUACAUACCCUCCUCCAGGUUUAGCUCAGUUCUGCCAACCUAAAGGUUCAUGGGUUAGAUGAAAACACACAGCUGCUCCAUGGCUGAAUACAUCAGUGAAGGAAAGUUUGCAGUUCUACCUGGUCAUUCCACCUGUAUCUAAGUCCAAGUAACUGAAACCCAAAUUCUGUGACUUGUCAGCUCUGCGGUGAAAGCCUAAAUGGGUAAUUCGGGGCUCAGAAUGUCCCUGGGGAUUAGAUUCCCGCCAACCCCCUCCCUGCCCCCAACACCGGAGCCCCUCCAGUGACUCCACGGUCUGGACGAACAAGCUCAC